CCGUGUCCGCUGCCGUUACCCCACUGCGUCAUCUCUCGCCGACAUCGACCGACUGAAUGAAUGGGGCGGCCCAUUAAAGCCAGCUGCAGUUCCAGACGCAGACAGAGCCAGGCCCCGAUCGCAGCACUGGAAGAAUUGGGUUGGAGAGACGUUUGUAACCUUGAGUGAUUGUAUUACGUAUUUUAAAAAGUAAAAAUGACUUAAAGCGCUAAAUAUAUAUUGAAUUAAAUCUUAUAAGUAUAACUUCUUAAUAUUUGCAAAGUAAUUUGAAUAAUCAUAUUAAUAAUAAUAAUUUAUUUAUUUACAUUUUUUUAAGAAAGACUUGCAAUUCUUUGUCAAUACAGAUAUCAGUGUGGUCGUCGUCGCCGCAACAUAGAGAGCGUGGAAAUCCAGACAUUCCAGAAUCGGUCCCCAAAAGUGCUCUCCCUGGCUCUCUGCACACACGUUUGAGUUGGAUGCGAUCGCCGAUCGAAAAAGUCCCCACCAGACUCAAAGCGCCACCCCUCCCACGAAUUCGUGAGUAAUGCAACGUCGGACCGAUUGGAUCGAUGCAAAUGCCCUGAUCAUGUGUAAUUGCGAUCUAGACGAUCGCCGGUCGAGCGGUUAUCAGUUGGCCGCGUCCGCUGGGGUCCAUUGCGUCAUCCGCACUCUGUUUGUACACAGCGAUCGUGAUCGAGGCCGUAAUGAGAUCCGCACACAAAUUGCUCCGCCUGCGAAAAAAAGCACUUUCACUCUCACUCUCGUUGGCGGGACAGAAUCCGCCGUGCAGAUCAUAUGCCAUUGACCAAGAUGCCGCGUCGGAUGGUCUUUCUGCAGCUGCUGAUGCUGUGCAUUCUGGUGCAGGGCCACUACUACUACGACUAUGGCUACUGGGAGAUCAACGAGCCUCCGCCGUUGUGUUCGGACUACGAGAUGCUGGUAGUCAACACCCACCAGUGCGUGAGGCGCUGCAACAUAGUGUGCCGGGAUGGGGUCUGCUUCGAGGACGGACCCUGUCCUUGUGCCGAUCAGUAUAUGGCCGGGAAUCCGGACGGACUGGUCUGUGCCGCCGAGUGCCUCCCUGGAUGUCGUGAAGCCGGUGGCUACUGCGCUGCCCCCGACCUGUGUGUGUGCCGUAAUGACAGGCACUAUUACUUCGAUCCCCUGUCCCAAAAGUGCCGUCACAGGGCGGCCCGACUGCUGGACCCAUGUCUCGGGCGCUGCACCCAUGGCAGCUGCUCCUCCGACGGCCAGUGUAUCUGUGCCCAGGGCUACGAAUUAAGGGCCAGUCUGCUCCACGGACAUCAAUGUAUGCCCAUCUGUGAUCACAAUUGCGGACCCCAAGCCUACUGCUUCGCUCCCAACUUGUGCGCCUGCCGUCACAAACACCACCAUUAUGCUCGCAAAGGAAUCUGCUCCAGGGACUAUUGACCUUGUAAGGCCAUCUGCAAGCCAGAGGGGCUGUUUUAGGACAAGCUGAUGUUUCGGUUAAAUGGCCUGAGAUCUCAGGCUACAUACACGACAUAAGUUGAGAGAUAAAGACUAACUGAACUCUUUUCGAAGCUCAGUUAUCUUUUCAUUUAAUCUGCCAAUGUAAAAUCAUUGUAAGGAUUGAGGUAACGUAAGAGGGUCCUGUAACUCGAGUUUACGUUGAUAGUAUAAGAUUUGAUUAUAGAAAGAACAACUUUAAUAAAUGCACCAACCAAUUUCUUCACGUUAGUAAAACGUGCAAAAAAAGUAAACAAAUUAAACUAUAAAUUAAUGGAGACAUCAAAUAUAAAUUUGAAAACUGUUUAAUUGUUAUAAAUGUACCAACUCAUAGUUUUUGCUUACAUUGGUAAAACGUGCGAAAAAAAAGAAACCAAUAUUUAUCUGUAGACCUGUGGAUACAUAAAAAAUACUUAAACAAAAUACAUUUUCCAUUAACAGCAGAUAAAUAGAUGCUUAAAAUAAUAACUUUUAUAAAUAAGCA